CACGUGGGUAACCUGCCCAAGAGAUCGGGAUAACACCUGGAAACAGAUGCUAAUACCGGAUAACAACAGAUGAUGCCUAUCAACUGUUUAAAAGAUGGUUCUGCUAUUACUCUUGGAUGGACCUGCGGUGCAUUAGCUAGUUGGUAGGGUAACGGCCUACCAAGGCGAUGAUGCAUAUCCGAGUUGAGAGACUGAUCGGCCACAUUGGGACUGAGACACGGCCCAAACUCCUACGGGAGGCAGCAGAA
rnacentral:rRNA from 1 species